rnacentral:rRNA from 1 species
GAUAAACGCUGGCGGCGCACAUAAGACAUGCAAGUCGAACGAACUUAACUCAUUCUUUACGAUUGAGAGCGGUUAGUGGCGGACUGGUGAGUAACACGUAAGCAACCUGCCUAUUAGAGGGGAAUAACAGUGAGAAAUCAUUGCUAAUACCGCAUAUGCUCACAGCAACACAUGUUGCAGUGAGGAAAGGAGCAAUCCGCUAAUAGAUGGGCUUGCGUCUGAUUAGCUAGUUGGUGGGGUAACGGCCUACCAAGGCGACGAUCAGUAGCCGGACUGAGAGGUUGAACGGCCACAUUGGGACUGAGAUACGGCCCAGACUCCUACGGGAGGCAGCAGUCGGGAAUAUUGCGCAAUGGAGGAAACUCUGACGCAGUGACGCCGCGUAUAGGAAGAAGGUUUUCGGAUUGUAAACUAUUGUCAUUAGGGAAGAUAAAAAGACUGUACCUAAGGAGGAAGCCCCC